rnacentral:lncRNA from 1 species
UCCCAUUCCAAAAGACAGGGAUCUGGCGGCUUUGGCCUCUCCUCAAACUCUCAGAGAUUGGGCCCUACAUAUGACUCUCGGCUAGGGGACUGGACCCAGAAGACUCCUGGCUUCCACACAUACCCACGAAUCAUCUGAUUACGGUCCACUCUCAGGAUUCUUCCCCUAUCAACGCACUGAAUUUACUUUCAACCCAGUGGCAGACCAACUCUUCCUUUCAUCAAGAAGCAGGAGGAACAUCAUGCAAACAGGUCCCAGGCAGUCAAAAAGCCAAGAUGCAAAAUAAGUAUUUGUCACCCCAUGCUACUUUUUUUUUUCUGGCUGGUCAUCCCCUGCAAAGUAUGCACAGGCUGAAGAUGUCCUCCUCUCCUUU